GCUGCACAUCACUGGCUCCCAGUGCCAGGCGCUCACUGAAGGAUCUCCAGUUUCUUCCUUCCUGCAAUAUGCCUGGAUUGAAAAGGAAGGAUCAAAUACACUAAAAAGUUAUACACAAAGCUGUUCAUUGCAGCACAGUUGGUAACAGGAUAAGACCGGAAACAAACGUCUAUCAACAGGUGGUUGAAAAAGCUGCCAAGUGCAAGCAUCUAGCUGCAUCCUGGUUAAGACAGACACGGGGGCCUGGACCACUGACCCCGCUUGUUCCCUCUCUCUUCCUCCACCUUAUCUCCUGCAGCUCCCAUGGCCCUGCACAAGGCUUUGACCCAUCCGAACCUCAUCCUGAAAACCGACAUACUCAGAACUUUUCUAGUUCUUCAUAGUACUCAGAAACCAAAAUUUUUCCCAGGACCAGAUGUUUCCUCCUCUCAAACCCGCAUCACCACUACCCAAAACGAAAGUCUUGAUCAUUCCUAGUGUUGUCGUGUGAAGGACUGAAGUUAAACCCAGAGGAGGACUGCUCCUGUUUCCUAAGAGAUCCCCAAAAAGUAAAAGGGCGAGGAGGUUGGAAACACAGAGACGAAAUGACCUACGGAGAGUAAAACGCACGAUCUGGGCCAGAGUUUGAGAUGAUUAUGGGUUCCUUCCUCUUCCUCUUCCUUCAGUCCUGCUGGGGACUGGGUAGGCGGAUGGGAUCAGGCGUCUGUAGGAUUUUCCAGCCGCCUCGGUGGGGUAGGGAGAAAGCAGUUUUGCAAGAGGCUUGGGGAGUCGCCCGCUCGACCACCCGGCUGCCCGGCGCGUGGCUGCGCAGCGGGAGGGCGGGCUCUGGUGUAAGGGCGGGAGCGAGCCAACGCCCGGAGCGCGGAUUCCAGGGGCGCGCAGUCAGCCCUGGCCCGGCUCCCCCAUCCAGUUCCCCCGGUCGCCCGCGAGGCGCCGCCGAUUACAUAAACAGCCUUCACCUCCCUAAGGAGGGGAAAACAGAGGGCUGGUGACAAGCAGGCCGAGACCCGCAAGCAACGCCCCUCCGGACGUUUAUUCAGAUCACCCGGGACUGCCCAAAUUCUCUAUUUACAGUUCUCACAGCCCUCGUCAAGGUCAUGGACUUCGCGCCUUUUAUCUUGUUUCCUUUCAUUGUGUACAGAUUUAACUUCCUUACUAGAAAGGGAGAUCUUUCUCCACUGUUUUAAGUUGAUUUUAUACUUCCUGGCUCUACCAACCCCUGACACUUAGCACGAACCCUGGAAUGGGGUAGUUUUUAAAUAAAUAUUUACUAAAUUAAAA